CUGGGAGUCCGAUGAUAAAAGAACAACUAUCACAGUGGGAGAUGAGAAGCUGUCUUUGUGUGGAUUGUUGGCAUAUGGAAGUGGAAAAACUUCCGACAAAGUGGAGAAAUUACCACAGAAUACUAUUAAUGAAUGGAUAGUGUCGGCAAGUUGUAAAGAAGAGAAAUAACUACGGUAACCACUCUUUUUAGACACAAUAUGGCACAUACGAGAUGUUUAGUUUGAUAAGUGGCAUAUUAGUUAGUGUUAAAUCGAAGUUACCUAAGAAUCAUAUGAAUAUUCUCUUAUAAUCCAUAAGCUAAUUUACGGAAUUUACCUGCUCCAUUUAAGAAGCAGGCACAUCUAACACUAUAUUACGUAUAUUAGGUCAAUUCAAAUAAAGGUUCGAACCUUAUGCAGCA